rnacentral:lncRNA from 1 species
AGUCCACCCUCUCAUCCAGAUGGCCCGAAUGGUGCCCUUGGUGUCCAUCAGACUGUCAGACUGCUGUUUACUGGGGCAGCUCCCAGGGUCUCUGCUCUUCUUUUGAGUCUGCACCACCGACAUCCUUUUCAGCUUCGAUUGGAGCUCCUGAUGCGUGCGAGCAAAGGAUAAAAGCUGCUGUGGAAGGAUGCCUGUUUGCAAGGAGGAAAGAGCGAGCUUCCUGCUUCCCAGGUCCCUGGCAUGCUCCCCCUGGUGGAAAGGCACUCCCUCCAAACUCUUGGAGAGGACUCAGGCUAAAAGUGGCAAGCUACUUCCAAGUUCCAGGUGACCCAUAGGCUGUGAUGUUGCCAUUAUGAAGAAAUUGCUGUGCUCAUCAACUUACUUUGAACCAAGCUGUUCUUUACCGAAUGCCCUGAAGUCAUUGGAAAGUCACACUACCUUGCUUUAAAGUGAAGAAUUAGAAUUGUUUCUCUGAAGAUGAGGGAGGUGCAUGAAGGAUGUCAGGUACAACAGUGCCGUGUGUAUGCUAUUGAGAACUGGACGGGAGUGAAAGAGAGUGAUGAAGACAACAGUCUAUACAGCAUCUCCUAUUACCUGUUAGCUCAGUGCUUCAUGUGCAUUACCUCACUGAAUUCUCGCAACAGCCCAAAAAGGUCAUAAUCAUCUGGAGAGACACAUUGGCAGAGAGACUACCUUAAUACAAUGGGGAAAAAUGACUAUGGGACUUUCUUUCCCCAGCUGUUUUGAGGCUUUAAAAUUUAUCUUAGAACCUCUUGGAACUAUCCCAUCAGAAUAACUGGAAGCCAGAUAAAACAUUAGGCAGUUCAUUCAUUUUAUUGGACGUGGAGUUUUGUCAGAACCAGCAUUUACUGUACUUCUCAUAGCUGUAAGCAAAGCAUUAGAAUUCAGCAACCUAAUGCUUUUCUUUUCUCUGCCAAGCGGGGUCGUGAAAUGGGAGAGAAAGCCUCCUUGCCUCUGUUCUUUGCAAACAGCAUGUAUUUAUUUGGGGUCAGUAGAGCAAAACAUCUGAUCGCUGCUCUAAGUGUUUGCAAACUUUUGGGCACUGGAGGGGACAUGCAUAUGAGAUGGAACAGGGCAUAGAUAAAAGAAUUCCCGCAUUACCCACCAUCCUGCCCAAAGAAACCACACGACUUCCAUGGCAGUCCCAGACUACAGAAAGGGAGAACACAGCAAGCGCCUGCAUUCUCUUCAUUUAGGCCCCAAGUCAUCCAAAAAUUGCCUACCACGGCAGUAGACGAGUUCACAUUUUAAUCAAAACAGGACUGCACAGAAACAUACGUCCACGUGAAAACCAGUACCCAGUGUUUAUGGUGGCUUUCUUUUUAAUUGCUAAAAACUGGUAACAACCUAAAUGUCCAUCGUCAGAGGAAGCGAUGAACAAACUGCGGUGCAUUCACACAACAGCGGUGCUACACAGCAGCGAAGAGGAGCAGCCGACUGACACGCACAACAACUCGGAUCUCAGGAGCAUCGCACCGAGCUGGAGAAGCCAGACACGAGCCGCUGCACACCGUAUGAUUCCAUGGCAUUCUGGGAAAGGCAAAACUCCAAGCACAGAGAACGCAUGAGUUGUUGCCCAGGUUUGGGGUUCCAGGAAGAGGAUGGAUUACUAAGAAGCACAGGGGAAUGUUUUGGGGUGAUGAAAAUGUUGUAUGUCUUGUCUUUUUCUUUUCUUUUUGUGAAACAGAGUUUCACUCUUGUCGUCCAGGCUGGAGAGCAAUGGUGUGAUCUCAGCUCACUGCAACCUGCACCUCCCAGGUUCAAGCAAUUCUCCAGCCUCAGCCUCUUGAAUAACUGAGAUUACAGGCACAUGC